CUACCACUGCUUUUACUUGGGAUGGUGUUCAAAUUGUGGGAUGUCUGAGAAAGCUGGGUUCCACGUUUUGCUAUGCAACCUGUUCCUCACAUCCUGGACUUUGCCGGCUCCAGUCCUCAGGUACUAUCAUGGAAGCCAUUACUCUCUCCACAGUCCUGUCAUUCUUACCCCCAAGGAGUAAGGAUGUAGAUUCACUCUAGAUGUGAGUACAGCUUGUAAACUGUCUAUGUGAAUUGGUGUCAUCUGUCCUUUUGUCAGUUGCCAUUCAGUAAGCAUUGUGACGUGUAAGGCUCUCAGGAGAAGCCAGAUCCCAGUGGCAUUAGUGUGACAAACAAGCUGUGCCCAAGUUGCUGACACUCUGGCAGAGUCCAGGACAUCCAGGAAGACAGAGGUGGUGAGAUAUCACCAACUAUGACUCUGACAUCCAAUGAAGCAGUCGAGGGCCAUGAUGCUUUUCUGACUGAAGCAACACAGCCUGAAGCCCAAAUCCCGAGGCUGUGCACCAAAGUCUUUCCCUGUUUGUCACUGGUACUGCUGCUAUUGAUUUAAAAAUCUAGUUCAAUAUGGGAAAAAUACACUUUACAAUCUCCUGGAACAUUCUGUCUCAGAGAGGACCGUGUCUACACUUCAAAGGAAAGACCAG
ensembl:lncRNA